UACGUAGGGGGCAAGCGUUGUCCGGAUUUAUUGGGCGUAAAGAGCGUGUAGGCGGCCAGACAGGUCCGUUGUGAAAACUAGAGGCUUAACCUCUAGACGUUGAUGGAAACCGUCUGGCUAGAGUCCGGAAGAGGAGAAUGGAAUUCCUGGUGUAGCGGUGAAAUGCGCAGAUAUCAGGAAGAACACCCGUGGCUAAGGCGGUUCUCUAGUACGGUACUGACGCUGAGACGCGAAAGCGUGGGGAGCGAACAGG
rnacentral:rRNA from 1 species